rnacentral:rRNA from 1 species
GACGAACGCUGGCGGUGUGCUUAACACAUGCAAGUCGAACGGAAAGGCCCUGCUUUUGUGGGGUGCUCGAGUGGCGAACGGGUGAGUAACACGUGAGUAUCCUGCCCUUGAUUUUGGUAUAACUUCAGGAAACUGGGGCUAAUACCGUAUAGGAUCUCCUGCUGCAUGGUGGGGGUUGGAUAGUUUCGGCGGUUGGGGAUGGAUUCGCGGCUUAUCAGCUUGUUGGUGGGGUAGUGGCUUACCCAGGCUUUGACGGGUAGCCGACCUGUGAGGGUGACCGGCGACAUGGGGACUGAGAUACGGCCCAGACUCCUACGGGAGGCAGCAGGGGGGAAUAUUGCACAAUGGGAGGGAGCCGGAUACAGAAGCGCCGCGUGCGGGAUGACGGCCUUCGGGUUGAGAAAAGCUUUCGCCUGAGACGAAGCGGGAGUGACGGUAAUGAAUAAAGAAGCACCGGCUAACUACGUG